rnacentral:rRNA from 1 species
GUUAGGAAUCUUCCACAAUGGGCGCAAGCCUGAUGGAGCGACGCCGCGUGAGGGAUGAAGGUUUUCGGAUCGUAAACCUCUGAAUGGGGGACGAAAGGGCCGUGAGGCAGAUGACGGUACCCCAGUAAUAGCACCGGCUAACUCCGUGCCAGCAGCCGCGGUAAUACGGAGGGUGCAAGCGUUACCCGGAAUCACUGGGCGUAAAGGGCGUGUAGGCGGUUCACUAAGUCUGGUUUUAAAGACCGACGCUCAACGUCGGGCAUGGACUGGAGACUGGUGGACUAGACCUCUGGAGAGGCAAUCGGAAUUCCUGGUGUAGCGGUGGAAUGCGUAGAUACCAGGAGGAACACCAACGGCGAAGGCAGAUUGCUGGACAGAAGGUGACGCUGAGGCGCGAAAGUGUGGGGAGCGAACCGGAUUAGAAACCCGAGUAGUCC